rnacentral:rRNA from 1 species
GACGAAGGGGGCUAGCGUUGUUCGGAUUUAUUGGGCGUAAAGCGCGUGUAGGCGGCCAGAUAGGUCUGCUGUGAAAACCUCGAGGCUCAACCUCGAGCUGUCGGCGGAAACCAUCUGGCUAGAGUCCGGAAGAGGAGAGUGGAAUUCCUGGUGUAGCGGUGAAAUGCGCAGAUAUCAGGAAGAACACCUAUGGCGAAGGCAGCUCUCUGGGACGGUACUGACGCUGAGACGCGAAAGCGUGGGGAGCGAACAGG